rnacentral:rRNA from 1 species
GCAGUAGCCGCGGGAAUACGUAGGUGGCAAGCGUUGUCCGGAAUUAUUGGGCGUAAAGCGCGCGCAGGUGGUUUAAUAAGUCCGAUGUGAAAGCCCACGGCUCAACCGUGGAGGGUCAUUGGAAACUGUUAAACUUGAGUGCAGGAGAGAAAAGUGGAAUUCCUAGUGAAGCGGUGAAAUGCGUAGAGAUUAGGAGGAACACCAGUGGCGAAGGCGGCUUUUUGGCCUGUAACUGACACUGAGGCGCGAAAGCGUGGGGAGCAAACAGGAUUAGAUACCCGAGUAGUCCCUGUCUCUUAUAC